GAUGAACGCUGGCGGCGUGCUUAACACAUGCAAGUCGAACGGAAAGGCCCUGCUUUUGUGGGGUGCUCGAGUGGCGAACGGGUGAGUAACACGUGAGUAACCUGCCCUUGACUUUGGGAUAACUUCAGGAAACUGGGGCUAAUACCGGAUAGGAGCUCCUGCUGCAUGGUGGGGGUUGGAAAGUUUCGGCGGUUGGGGAUGGACUCGCGGCUUAUCAGCUUGUUGGUGGGGUAGUGGCUUACCAAGGCUUUGACGGGUAGCCGGCCUGAGAGGGUGACCGGCCACAUUGGGACUGAGAUACGGCCCAGACUCCUACGGGAGGCAGCAGAGGGGAAUAUUGCACAAUGGGCGGAAGCCUGAUGCAGCAACGCCGCGUGCGGGAUGACGGCCUUCGGGUUGUAAACCGCUUUCGCCUGUGACGAAGCGUGAGUGACGGUAAUGGGUAAAGAAGCACCGGCUAACUACGUG
rnacentral:rRNA from 1 species